CCAAAUUUAAUGGAGUGAAGACUCAUUUUUCAUUGUUUUAUUCAACACUCUCUUCUCCUUAAACCACUGUUUCUUUCCAACCUUCUCAAGCAGAUAAGAAAUUAUUGAAUUGUGAAGACAAAUUUGGAUGCGACUUUUAUCCCAUUUUCGAUUAAGGAUUUUCACACACAAAGGCUUUUGUGUAAGUUGCGGCAUUGUUGCCUUUCACUUUUGUGAAUUUGCUGUGGUUUAGAAAUGUUCUUUUAUGUGAGAGUUCGCUUGAGAUGGCUGCCAGUAAGAACUAGAAAGCUGUACUUUAGAAACGUCGGGCCUAAGUGGCACCCUACCAUCUCGGUGGCUACCCGGAAGAUCGUUGCGGGAACGAUGGCUGGUAACCAGAACUACCCCGACGGUGGCACUGGCCAUGAGAAUAGUAGAGGAUCUUUAAUUGCGGCUCAAAAUAUUUUUAUGAUCCACAUUUGCUUAAGAUUUACAUUUUUACUUUGAUCUAGCUGCUGCUUAUUGUCGAGGCCUUUAUAUUUCACGCUGGUAUUAUCUUUUCACGGGGAUAUCUGGGGUAGUUUGUUUGCUUGAUCCCAUGUUACUUUUGUUAGUUUAUGCUGGUAUAUAUGUGUUGGGAUAUUGUACAUGAUCUUUAUAUGGUUUGAACUGAAAACUUGCCAGUUUCGUGUA